rfam:Triticum aestivum genome assembly, contig: Triticum_aestivum_CS42_TGACv1_scaffold_377249_5AL
AUUAUAUUACCUCCGUCCCAAAAUUCUUGUCUUAGAUUUGUCUAGAUACAAAUGUAUCUAACACUAUAACGUGACUGGAUAAAUCCGUAUCUAGACAAAUCUAAGAAAAGAAAUUUGGGACGGAGGGAGUAGAAA